UACGUAAGGACCGAGCGUUGUCCGGAAUCAUUGGGCGUAAAGGGUACGUAGGCGGUUUUUUAGGUCCACAUUAAAAUGCAUUGGCUCAACCAAUGUUCGGUGUGGAAACUAUAAAACUUGAGUAGAUGAGGGGCAAGUGGAAUUCCUAGUGUAGCGGUGAAAUGCUUAGAUAUUAGGAGGAAUACCAGUGGCGAAGGCGACUUGCUGGACUCUAACUGACGCUGAGGUACGAAAGCGUGGGGAGCAAACAGG
rnacentral:rRNA from 1 species